ACAUGUUGCAAGGAAGCCUUGAGUCCUUGCCAAUCCCGCCGAAACCAUACUUGUCUUCCCCUCCAAGAUCUCCUCACGGAUCAAAUUCAAAUUCUUAAACAACCACUAUCAUAAUUCAUGACCUUUAAGUUCCAAAUACUCAUCGCAUCUUCCUUGCAUGAGACCAUGACGCAUUGUACCAAAAAUGUCUUGUAAAACUCUAUGGCCUGAGCUAGUCCAUAUUGUGUAUUUCUCUCAGAAGACUACAUGUUGUUUGCACAAUUAAGAUGCAGAAAACUCGUUCUAACUCUUACCAAUUAGCGUGUCGGUAUGGUGGCGAUUUGAAUCCAAAAUACAGACUUCAAACAGAAUCUUCUAGCCUUACUCUCUACUCUCGAAAUGGGAGGGCUAGAAGUGAUCAGUUCAGUAUAUUUUUUACAUCAGCAAGACCGACAGCUGUUCCCACCUUAAAAUUAUUAAGCGUCUUUGAUAAUGUGAUAAUGUGAUGAUGAAUAUUGUUGAAAGUAUUUUUUAUUUAUAAAUUUAUUAAAAUAAUAUUGUUUUAUAUUUUAAAAAUUAUUUUUGAUAUCAACACAUCAAAACGAUGUAUUAUUGGCAACUAUUAGCAAUCAUACAUAUACAUAGAUAGACGUUUAUCUUGUUUUCUUUCCAGCAAUUGAGUGACUGAGCCAGUCCAGCAUUUCUAAUUAAGCAUCUUAAUAACUGUAAAACUAUUAUCAGCACCUUCAUUUCAAGAUUAAACCAUAGUCUCAGCAAUUAAUAUUUCUGUUUUGUGUACUCUGCCAAUCCUUAUGGGCUAUCAACAUUCACCAUCUCAUAUAAAUCCUCCAUGCCACUUGUUCAUCCAAUUCCGAUGGCCUUCCACAAUUUCGCAAUCUAAAAUAGUUGCACGCUUGCACUGCAUGAGUGGUCAUGUGGACGAAGAAUGGAAAUACCAUCCUUGAAAUUCCAAGAAAUUUAUCCCUGUAUUCUUUAACAAUCACAAAUGUGAAAGUGGCAAGCAUAAUGUAUGACAAGAAAAUUCAUGGACAGAAAAAUCCACCAAGUUGUCUUUUUGUUAGCUGAAUGCAUGCUUGAUCUGCCAAAUUAACUCGUUCCUUGCUAUAAUGCUCCAAUAAAAAGAUUUGGGAAAUUACUGGAAGAAAAUCAGCAGUUCUCAGACCACAAUGCGGACAUGCAGUACUGUAUUUUUUUUAAAAUGCAAAAAUUCCUCAAAGCAUUUAAUUUUUGUGUGGGAGGCAUCUCCAUCCUUUCUUCAGUCUUUUUCACCGAGUCUUGCCUGUCAAAUUAUCCACUCAAUAAUAGCGUGUUGCAUGGAUGAAGAACUGCAUGUGUUGCGAGAGUAGGGCCAAAGAGACCUCACUUCAGGCAAGAAAACUAACUGCUAAUUGCUGUGUCGCCCUUCAUUUAUUGGGAAUUUUGAGAUUCGAACAAUCCUGCAGCUUGCUGCUUCAAUCAAGGACAAAAUUAAGAAACUCCAUGUAUUAUGUACUGGAUAGAUGACCCACGCUCUACUAACGGGUCAAUCUAAAUUGUUUUCAAUAUAAAAACAUAUAUUAAGACAAUGUAAGUGUUUCUAAAAGAAAUACAAGCCUCGUGUCAUUAUCUCGACUGUAUUUAGUAAGUUCAACUAAUUUAAAUAACAUAAAUAAAAAAAUGCAACAACAAUAUAUAAAAUAAAAUAAAAUAAUUUGACAAAAAAAUAUUCAGAUGACACAAAUGUUUUUAAAUAAUCAAUAAACAUUUGAGGCUAUUAUUAUUUAUUUGACUAGAUUCAUAAAGUUCAGUUAAUUUAAUAAUAUAAUUAAAAAUAUAUCAACAAAAAAUAAAACAAAAAAUUUAGCAAUAAUUAGGUAUAAAAAUGAACUACCAAUAUAACAGUCACGAAUAUAAAAAAUAAAAGCCUAUUAGAGACUCAUUGUCUCUCUGUCAUUAUUAGCAUCAUAUAUUCACAUUUCAUCUAUAAAUUGUACAAUUAUUAGCAUAUAUAUUUCGGCUUGAUCCUUGAAUCAUUAGCAGAUAUUCAGCAUUCAUUAGCUGAGAUAUAAGAUUGUGUUCCCUUCCUCGUGUACUGUAACAAUGUAGAAUAAUAUAACAGAACAGAACAGAACAAUUCCCUAGGUGUUAAUAACAAAAAAAAAAACUAUAAUGAAAAUACAAAAAAGCCACUAGGUGUUAGUUACUGUUUUUUUAUGUAGAAAGGUAUGUUAAUCAUUUUAUUACGCUUAAUAAAAAUAAAAAUAUAAAUAAACCCCUAAAGAUGCAGGCGUUUAUAACAUACUUCGCUUAUCUAAUUUAUCUAAUUUAUAACAUAAAAAUAUAAAAUCAUUUCGAGAAGGAUGCAUUAUUGCAUUGUUACCACAGGGCUCUUAUCUAAUUUAGCGAAACCCUAUACUUCGCUUUCUUGUUAUUGCACAUGCAGGCGUUUAUAACAAGCUGUAAAGAAUGCCAUAGUUGUUUUCUGAAUUUAUUUCAAAAAAAAUCACUUUUUAAAUGUUUUUGUAUUUGUUUAACAUUAAAAAAGUUGAUCAACGAAAAACUUUGGUUCUCAUUUUUAUAAUUGUUAUUUUCUUUUUCCUUAUCAUUUUUUUAUGAAACUUUUUAUGUAUCAAAUUUGGUCCUUAUUUUUUUGAUUGUUACUUAUUUUAUUUGAAAUAAUUUAUGAAAUGUUAAUUAUUAUUAUUUUAAUUUCUUCAUCUUUUAUUUUUUUUUAUUUUUUAGAUUUGAUCUCUAUUAUUUUGAUUAUUAUUUAUUUUAUUUGAGAUAAUUUAUGAAAUUAUAUUUUUUUUCAAUUUCAUUCUCAUUCAACUUUUUAAUUUAUAAAAUUUGUUCUUCAUUAUUUUAAUAAACUUGAGAAAAAUAAAACAUUAAUAAGUUAUUUUCCAGCUCAUUUUCCAUGACAUAACCAAACACUGGAAAGUGUUUUUCAACUUAUUUUUCAUUACACUACCAAAUAUAAGAAAAUAAUUCACUUUUCUUGAAUUUAUUUUCUUAAAAUUUAUUUUUUAAUAAAAAAUUAUUUUCCGUUUGGCGGAAUUAUCUGUUAAUAUUGCGUGGUAUUUGGGAAGAAGACUUUGAAAAGUCAAUAGGUCAACUUCUCUUUGAUUUGCUAGCCAGUGGGAAGGAGUCUUUCAAAGACCAGGUGCAUAUUUACUGGGCUGGUGCUAUCUCCGACCAAACAGACGAUAUCUAACAUGUAAAUUUCGCAGGGCUACCACACCUGCUGUCCAUCUUAAUUACUAGUCUUCCUACUCCAGUUUCCAAGUCAACUGACGUGUGUUGCCAGAUAAAGAAUUAUAUGUACUUUGAAGAGACACCAAGACAUAGUUCUAGUAAGAGAAGUUGAUCCUGUUGGUGUCUCCAUUUUGUUUCUUAAAAUUGGGAGCUCGGGGAUGGCUCCCGUCCCUUUGCUAGUUUUCUUUCACCCUUUGCUUAUUUGCGCUUCCACAGAAGAUGAGUACUUGGCCUUCAAGAAAUGUCUGCCUUUCAAUUGUGGAAAGCUCGGAGAAAUCAGGUUCCCAUUUACCAACAACACAAGUCCUGAGAUAUGCGGUCCCUAUGUGGUGGAUGGUUGUAACGAUGAUUCUCAAAGGAUCCAACUAGUUAGGGGAGGAAAAUGGUUUGAACUUGAAAGCAUCUCUCAGGCUGCUACCAUUUCAAUCACCGAUGAAGAAUUACGGGGACAUUUGAAUUCCAAUUCAUGCGGUUCCUUCAACAAUUUGAGUCUUCCACCAAGUCUCCCAUACUUCUAUAAUAAAAAAUUCUCCAACCUAACUUUAUUCAAAUGUGACCCUAGUGUCAAUUUUCCUCAUCGUCUUGAAUUGAACUAUACAGGAUGCAAGAACUUCAGCAUCCAUUAUACUCGCAACACCAGUCUGCCUAGUCCUCCACCUGCCUGUUCAAUUCUUCAGCUCCCAGUGAAUAAAACCGAGAGUUAUGGUGACAUAUUCAGGCUGUUAACAGCUACCUUCUCUAUUGAAGUGUUCGUAUCGCAUCACUGUUAUCGUUGUUAUUUGCAAAGAGGGGAAUGUCAAAACACCGAAGGAAAGCCCAAAUGCAUCCAUUCAAUUGAAGGUAUGAUAUGCAUGGACAAAGCAAAAAUAGGGAGAGAUAAAUACAUGUAAGUUUAUUUGUAUUUGUAUACUACGACCCAGUAUAGUCCUGAGGACCUUAAGACAUUUUACUAGACCUACUAUUCUUUAUAUCUGGUAUUAAUCCACUCAAUUCCUGUCUUCUAUGCAAUUGAUUUUAGCUUACUGGGUUUGGUUUACAAUUAUCGGUCGUGUGAAUAGAAUUUAGCUUGCCACAAAAUCCCAUAUUACUCAUAAGCAGGUCCUCCUUGCUCUGAUUUUUUUUCUUUGCUGAUUUUUGUGCAUGUUAAAUGUUGGAGAAUUCGAUUUGGCAAAGCAUGCAUAAAUUCGUUGUUUUAACUUUUAAGUUUUGCACUAAUGCCAUAUUUCCUUUUUUAUUUGUGUUGCAGAGAGAAAAAAAUUGAGAUUGAAGCUCGGACUAGGUAAUUUACCUCCUCAACAUUUCAAUUUCUCUUCUGCAUAUGUUUCGGCAACAACGUUCAAUGAAAAACCUCCUGCCAGUAAAAUAAUUUCCUCCUAGGAUAUAUUCAAGUUAAAAGUACAGUACUCUUCUUUUCAACUGCAGGUCUCGGAAUCCCUUUCAUGGUAAUAAUAAUUUUGGUGUCCAUAUUUUUCAUCCGGUGGCAUCGACAAAAGAGAAAACACAUUUCCUCUAACGUCAAUUCAGCAAAUGCUUCUUCAGAUCCCUCAUCAAAAUCAGACCCGGAAGGGGACAGUAACUACUUUGGGGUCCCCAUCUUCUCCUAUUCUGAACUUGAAGAAGCCACAAACAACUUCGAUUCCAAACACGAACUUGGUGACGGCGGUUUUGGAACUGUGUAUUACGGUAGGUUUUCUUAACUGAAAAACAAUUUACGGUAGGUUUUCUUAACUGAAAAACAAAGGAUGAAAGAAGGAAAGCUAGCGACUUUAUUUAUGGGCUUUUCUUUUUUUAUUUAUCAAUCUCGACAGGCAAACUCCGAGAUGGGCGGGAAGUUGCGGUCAAGCGCCUAUAUGAACACAAUCGUAAGAGGAUAAAGCAGUUCAUGAAUGAAAUUCAAAUCCUUACUCGCCUGCGCCACAAAAAUCUUGUGUCUCUUUAUGGGUGUACUUCUUGCUACAGCCGCGAGCUCCUCCUUGUCUAUGAAUACAUUCCCAAUGGCACAGUUGCAGAUCAUCUCCAUCAUGAUCGAGCCAAAUCUGGUUCACUAACUUGGACUAUUCGAAUGAGGAUUGCCAUAGAAACGGCUGGCGCAUUGGCUUAUCUGCAUGCUACUGAUAUCAUUCACCGGGAUGUAAAAACGAACAAUAUCCUUCUUGACAACAAUUUCUGUGUGAAAGUUGCAGAUUUUGGGCUUUCCAGGUUGUUCCCCAACGAUGUCACUCACAUCUCAACUGCUCCGCAGGGAACACCUGGCUAUCUUGACCCAGAAUACCAUCAGUGUUACCAGCUGACAGCUAAGAGUGAUGUCUAUAGCUUUGGUGUUGUCCUCAUUGAGCUCAUAUCAUCAAUGCCUGCUGUUGAUAUGACUAGGGAUCAGCAUGAGAUUAAUUUGGCCACAUUAGCAAUGAACAAGAUUCAAAAAUGUGCAUUUGAUGAGUUGAUUGACCCAUAUCUUGGGUACAAGUCAGAUGAGGAAAUUAAAAGAAUGACAACUUCAGUUGCAGAGUUGGCUUUUUUAUGCUUGCAGCAGGGCAAGGAAAUCAGACCUUGUAUGAAUGAGGUGCUAAAGGAACUAAAAGCAAUGGAGAGUGGGGGGUAUGAGUUGGAGAAUCUGGAACAGGAGCAUGGUGAUAACGAUGCAUCAAAGAAAAAAGAACCUCCGGAUUGUUAUGUGGUUGCAUUGCUAAAGAAUAUCCGGUCACCGCUGUCAUCGAAUUCCACAACUGAUCAGUGGUUUAGCAGUUCUACUACACCUAAUGUCAGCAAUUAAUAUUUCAACUGUGUUGCUUUAUUAGUAUAUUUUGGCCGUUAUAUCCAUGUCCAAACUGCAAUAAAGAGAUUGAUGACCAGAAAACUGCAUACCUUUUCUUUAAUUGACACCUCGAGAAUAUCCUCAAUACAAUUUGUGCAUCCCAUGGCUGCUCCAGAACUCCAUAUGCUUUGAACUAUUUAUGCUCUGUUUCUUUACCAUCAUUCUCCUAAAACUAGAACUGUGUGGUUAUGUUUUACAAGCAAAUUAAAUCCCUGAUAUUCGAACAGAUUUCUCCACUGAUGCUCCUACUCUACAACAGGCUCAUCCAAUAGUGGUCGAUAGAGAACGGAAGAGGAGCUAGAAAUGCUUGGUCAUGGCAAGUUCCAUGCACAAGUGUAAGGCAUAUUUCUCCAAGCCAAUUGGAAACUGAAGAUACCGUAUUGUUAUCUAAGGUUUGAAUCUAGGGAGGCCGGGAGAAGAAUUCUUCUUUUUGCGAGGAGGACGUGCUUACUCGAUUAGGAAGAAAUAGGUGAAGAACUUGAACUUCGAGGGGCUGGCAAUGAAGUGGAGGAACAAAAUGCAAGAAAAAUGAUUUUGGCAAGCUUGUGGUGCAUACAAACCGACCCCUCAAAUCGCCCACCAAUGUCUAGAGUUGUAGACAUGUUGCAAGGAAGUCUUGAGUCCUUGCCAAUCCCGCCGAAACCUUACUUGUCUUCCCCUCCAAGACCUCCUCACAGAUCAAAUUCAAAUUCUUAAACAACCAGUGUCAUAAUUCAUGACCUUUAAGUUCCAAAUACUCAUCGCAUCUUCCUUGCAUGAGACCAUGACGCAUUGUACCAAAAAUGUCUUGUAAAACUCUGUGGCCUGAGCUAGUCAAUAUUGUGUAUUUCUCUCAGAAGACUACAUGUUGUUUGCACAUUUAAGAUGCAGAAAACUCGUUCUAACUCUAACCAAUUAGCGUGUCGGUAUGUUGGCGAUUUGAAUCCUAAAUACAGACUUCAAACAGAAUCUUCUAGCCUUACUCUACUCUCGAAAUGGGAGGGCUAGAAGAAGU
rnacentral:lncRNA from 1 species